rnacentral:lncRNA from 1 species
UUGGCAAGUAAGCCAAACCAAAGAUUUCUCAAUGAAGUUUAACUCAUCCUUACCCGAGUCAGUAGUUAUAUCUAGUAAAUUGUAGCUAUACCGAGAUCAGAACAUUUUCUUUAUUUAGAAAGAAAAAAAUAAAUAAUUUAUCAUACAUGUACAUUCAAAUGUUUUUAAUUUACCAGGUAAAUUUGCGGAAAAGUAAUAAAUACAAAUUGCGGAAACGUAUAUUUCAAAUUUGCGGAAACGUAGUAUUGGGACUUUGAAAAAUUAGCGGAAAAGCAAUACGCCC